CAGACCACAGCACAUCAGCCAGCCCAGGGAACAGGGUGCAGGCGCCCUUGCUUUUAUCAUAUUGAGAGCUGAGCAGCACUUCCUGGGCCCCAGGCUUCAUUAGCACGUCGCUGGUACUGCUUCCUGUAGCUGACUAUCUGUUUCCAUUCUGGCAAAGUGUUUGCUCUCUUCUCUCUGCUUUGGGGGUUGGGGGAAGAUGAACUUCUCAAGGAGCCCGUCUCUGCCUUCUUGGCCGUCUCCCACUCGGAGCCCCGCACGUCCCCGCCACAAGGCAGAGCGUCUGGCGUCCCCCUGAGCCGAGCUGGGGAGCUCCACACCCAGAAGCGCUCUCCCCUCUUGCAGUCAGCAUCGCAGCCACAACCAGAGUCAGCAGUUUAGGAAGACAGGAAAAGUGGCAAGCUGACUGGCAAGCUGAUGACGACUAAGAGAAGGCCUAGGAGGAGAAGCUGAGGCCAGAGAGGGUCGCAGAAUAAUGGAUGCCACCACGUCAGCGUCAGCACGGUUGGAGCCCGCAGGGAGACCCUCAGAGCCCAGCACUCUGCGGGGAACCCUCGGCAGCCUGAACAAGACUGGAGACCACAGCAGCAGCAUCUUUUCUGGGUUUGCGGCUCUCCUUGCCAUCCUCCUGGUUGUGGCAGUUUUCUGCGUCCUGUGGAACUGCGGUAAACAGAAGU